rnacentral:rRNA from 1 species
UACGUAGGGGGCUAGCGUUGUCCGGAUUUAUUGGGCGUAAAGAGCUCGUAGGCGGCUCAUCGCGUCAACCGUGAAAACCAGCAGCUCAACUGUUGGCUUGCGGUUGAUACGGGUGGGCUGGAGUUCGGUAGGGGAGACUGGAAUUCCUGGUGUAGCGGUGAAAUGCGCAGAUAUCAGGAGGAACACCGGUGGCGAAGGCGGUUCUCUGGGCAUUACCUGACGCUGAGGAGCGAAAGUGUGGGGAGCGAACAGG